GACGAACGCUGGCGGCGUGCCUAAUACAUGCAAGUCGAGCGGACCAAAGGGAGCUUGCUCCUGGAGGUUAGCGGCGAACGGGUGAGUAACACGUGGGCAACCUGCCUGUAAGACUGGGAUAACAUCGAGAAAUCGGUGCUAAUACCGGAUAAUAAAAAGAACUGCAUGGUUCUUUUUUGAAAGAUGGUUUCGGCUAUCACUUACAGAUGGGCCCGCGGCGCAUUAGCUAGUUGGUGAGGUAACGGCUCACCAAGGCGACGAUGCGUAGCCGACCUGAGAGGGUGAUCGGCCACACUGGGACUGAGACACGGCCCAGACUCCUACGGGAGGCAGCAGUAGGGAAUCUUCCGCAAUGGACGAAAGUCUGACGGAGCAACGCCGCGUGAGUGAUGAAGGUUUUCGGAUCGUAAAACUCUGUUGUUAGGGAAGACAAGUGCCGUUCGAAAGGGCGGCACCUUGACGGUACCUAACGAGAAAGCCACGGCUAACUACGUGCCAGCAGCC
rnacentral:rRNA from 1 species